rnacentral:rRNA from 1 species
CCAAUAGCGUAUAUUAAAGUUGUUGCAGUCAAAAAGCUCGUAGUUGAAUUUCGGGAUUCUACCGUUGGUCGGGCUAACAAGUCUGUACUGGUGUGUAGAAUUUCUACCUUCUGGGGAACUAUCAUGUUAUUAAUUUAGCGUGGUGGGAAACCAGGACCUUUACCUUGAAAAAAUUAGAGUGUUCAAAGCAGGCUUACGUCUGAAUACAUUAGCAUGGAAUAAUAGAAUAGGACGGUGGUCCUGUUUUGUUGGUUUCUGAAUCACCGUAAUGAUUAAUAGGGAUAGUUGGGGGCAUUAGUAUUCAAUUGUCAGAGGUGGAAUUCUUGGAUUUAUUGAAGACUAACUUCUGCGAAAGCAUUUGCCAAGGAUGUUUUCAUUAAUCAAGAAUGAAAGUUAGGGGAUCGAAGACGAUCAGAUACCGUCGUAGUCUUAACCAUAAACUAUGCCGACUAGGGAUCGGACGAUGUUAAAUUUAUUGACUCGUUCGGCGCCUUACGGGAAA